UACAGAGGGUGCGGGCGUUAAUCGGAAUUACUGGGCGUAAAGCGCACGUAGGUGGCGACGUAAGUCGGGUGUGAAAGCCCCGGGCUCAACCUGGGAAUUGCAUUCGAGACUGCAUUGCUGGAGUACGGAAGAGGAGGGCGGAAUUCCCGGUGUAGCGGUGAAAUGCGUAGAUAUCGGGAGGAACAUCAGUGGCGAAGGCGGCCCUCUGGUCCAGUACUGACACUCAAGUGCGAAAGCGUGGGGAGCAAACAGG
rnacentral:rRNA from 1 species